GGAAGGGUGGCCGAGUGGUUUAAGGCACCGGUCUUGAAAACCGGCGUGCUUGCAAGGGUACCGUGGGUUCGAAUCCCACCCCUUCCGCCA
rnacentral:tRNA from 1 species